rnacentral:lncRNA from 1 species
GUAAUAUUUAUUAAAAAAAAAUUGCCCACGUAAUAUUUUUAUUUGGUAUAGGUUACUUAAAUUAAUUGGCAAAAGUUUUCUGAUUAUCUGAUAGUGAGAUUUCUCAUGCAAAUGAAUGACGGUAUUGAAGAACACAACCCGCCAAAAAAGAACACUCGUGAGUUGUCGAUAGCUCUGAUUUUACCGACCAAAACCGGAGAAACCUCCACCACUCAUUUACCAUUUUUCACGGGGUUGGCCCGCCUUUCUCGCCAUUUUUCUUGAAACAAUUCAGUUCAAUUAAUCUUUAGAAUAUUCUUAAUGUUGAGGAUUUUGUCAUAUUAGCACUUGUAGAUCCUCUCUCUUCUUUUUAUUUGGUUACUAUUGAUUUUCUCUUUAUAUGAGUGGAAGACGAUAUUAUUUUUUCAACACUUUAUCUAAAUCUUACUAAUCUAUAGAAUAAAAUCUACAAAAGUUCCACCAAUUUAUGUAAGAUAAAGCUUAUAUACUCCAAAUACGAAGACAUACACGUAUUAGAUAUCGAUAUUUCAAAGUAUUAGAUGUGAAAGUAAAAAGAGAGAAGAUUCAAUUAAUCAAUAUUAAACAAAAUUUAUGUUGAAUUCUUUUAAUAAUAAUUAUGUUGAUAUCUUAAUACAUGAAUGAUAAUAUAAUAUAAUUUAUUCAAUUUUUUUUUAAAAUUGUGACUUUUAUAAAGUAAUAAAUGUUUAUUUUUCUUCAAGUAUUUACAUCUAUAUAAGUUUUAGUAUAAAUUUUUUGUUAACGUAUCUUAGUUGUAUCAUAUCCUAAAUUUUAAAAUUUUUGCAUAUCCUCAUACCCGUAUCGUAUCCACACCUGUACCACAUAUAUGUGCUUCAUAGUGUAAGAUAUUAUAGGGUUCACAUUGAUUUUAUCCAAUAAAUUAGUGGAUGUUAGUGACAUUGAAAAAAAUAGUGUUUCUAGCACUCCUCAUAAUACAAAACUUAGUUAAUAAAGAAUUGAUUCAUCCACAAAAAUUUUGGUUCAACUCCAGUUGUCGAUGUGAUGACCUCUUU